rnacentral:rRNA from 1 species
AUUGAACGCUGGCGGCAGGCUUAACACAUGCAAGUCGAGCGGGGUGAUGGUGCUUGCACUAUCACUUAGCGGCGGACGGGUGAGUAAUGCUUAGGAAUCUGCCUAUUAGUGGGGGACAACAUCUCGAAAGGGAUGCUAAUACCGCAUACGUCCUACGGGAGAAAGCAGGGGAUCACUUGUGACCUUGCGCUAAUAGAUGAGCCUAAGUCGGAUUAGCUGGUUGGUGGGGUAAAGGCCUACCAAGGCGACGAUCUGUAGCGGGUCUGAGAGGAUGCUCCGCCACACUGGGACUGAGACACGGCCCAGACUCCUAGGGGAGGCAGCAGUGGGGAAUAUUGGACAAUGGGGGGAACCCUGAUCCAGCCAUGCCGCGUGUGUGAAGAAGGCCUUAUGGUUGUAAAGCACUUUAAGCGAGGAGGAGGCUCUUUUGGUUAAUACCCAAGAUGAGUGGACGUUACUCGCAGAAUAAGCACCGGCUAACUCUGUGCCAGCAGCCGCGGUAA